GGCCAACUGUGCUGUGCAUCUCAGCAGGCAGAGCUCUGGACAUCACCAACAUGGCCUGGACACACUGCCUGCUCAUUCUCCUCUGCACAGGUUCCACAGCCUCCGCCAUCCUGACACAGCCGCCCUCAGUGUCAGUGACCCCAGGACAGACAGCCACAAUCACCUGCUCUGGAGAUAAUCUCUCUGAGAAUUAUGCUAACUGGUACCAGCAGAAGCCAGGCCAGGCCCCCGCACUGGUCAUCUAUGAGGAUAGUAAACGGCCCUCAGGCAUCCCUGACAGAUUUUCUGGCUCCAACUCAGGAAGCACGACCACCUUGACCAUCAGUGGGGCCCAGCCUGAGGAUGAGGCUGACUAUUACUGUCAAAGUUAUGACAGCAGUGCUGUUAUCUUCGGCGGCGGGACCCAUCUCACCGUCCUAGGUAAGUGGAUCUCGUGAUCUUUCCCAGCCUGCCCUCCUCCUUUUCUCUCUUGGGAAAGUCUGUUUUCUCUUUCUGGGGAUCUUUUCCUCUCUACUCUCCCUGAGUCUGGGGGAGGUGGGUGAUCCUAGGGUACACAGCAGAAAGCGUCCCACCAGUCAGAUAUGGCUUAGUCCUGAAGAUCUUGGGUGGAACUGUUCAGAUAAGGGGUGUCCUUUCUCUUUUCUAGGACAGACACCCAAGUAGGGUCAGGGAGCAUGUCUGGAAAGGGACACUCAGUGGCUACAGAGACUGCCUCUAAAGGCUCCAGAGCCUAAACUGAGAACUGAAUGUUAAAUUAGGCUAGGAGGAGUACUCUGAAGGCACAGGGACAUGGCUGGAGGUUACUGCAAGUGGAGACAAGCAGAGAGAGCUCUGGCUUACCCUAGGUUCCACUCUCCAGGCCUCUCCUGGCAAGGAGGAAACAGGGACACAGAGAGAUACAUCAGACUGUGCGAGGUGACCAGAGCCCAACAUGGUCAUCAGAAAAGAGAGGUCCAUAGAGCAGAGACUCAUCUGUUCUGGAGCCCCUUAAACUUGGGCCAUGGAGUCUCCAUUGCACAUUACUGUCUCCUGCCUUCUUCAAAGGGCACAUUAGGCUCAAGAGAUGAGGAACGGGAUGUGGAGACAGGGCUUGCAGAAACUACCUCAGUGCAAGGUAGAAUCAAGAUUUACCAGAAGCUACCGGGAUGGGGGGAAGCUUCUGUGCACCUCGGUGUGGGGGAGCAGCCCCAGGAAAACAACCUAGUCAAAUAGUUUGAUGAUCAGACUGGUAGGAUAGAGCCAAGAUGUGGAACAGGCCGGGCAUGUCAGGAUGUAACACACAGCUUGGCAAAAGAGUAUAUCUGGCUAGAACAGAGCAGUAAAACUGGAGGAGAAAAGAGGCUAAGCCCACUCUCCUGUACGAAAAAGAGGCUCAGGGCCUCCCCACACAGCAGAGGCCAUGCUCCAGGAUGUUUAGAGACAUCCUGCUUAGAGAAGAGGCACCAGACAAGGGAAAAGUGAACUUCACUGCAGGUCUUGCCUCAGGUAUGCCCCGUGAGCUAAGGGAAAGAGUCUAGACUCAGACUCCAGAG